rnacentral:tRNA from 1 species
GCCCAUUUAGCUCAGUAGGUAGAGCGCAUCCAUGGUAAGGAUGAGGUCGCCAGUUCAAUUCUGGCAAUGGGCUCCA